AACUAUAAUACUGAUGCUCGAUGCCAAUUUGAUGCUGUUCAUCUAAAAGAAACAGUAAACCCUAAGUUUCGUUUGACAGAAGGAACAAUUAUUUGGCCUUUCUAUGAAGUUACUUCUGAUAAUUUUCCACCUAUAUUAUUUAUCUAAUUCCAGGCUACCCACAUCAGAACAACGACUGUCAAAAUUAUCCUUAACAACCUGGUACUGGCAAGACUGUAAUAGUGGAGAAUAUAUAUGACCCAAGAGCCUCACUAAGCGGAGUGUCGCAGAAAAGUAUACCGCUACCUCCUCCAGGAUGCGGCUCUAAUGCAGCGCAACUAGCACAGAUGCAAGGAUAUACAGUUAUAGGAACACAACAAAAUCUGGAACGAGACUGAUGGUGGGGAGAAUUUAUGCCUUUGUAGAUUAGGAUUUGAUUGAAUUCAUAGACAAUUAUUCAUCAACUGUUUAAAGUACAGCACAAAACAGAUAUGUGCUCUCUAGUUUUCUUGCAAAGAUUUGAUUAAAAGUUGUUAUAAAAAUGCCUUGUGUAGAAAAGAAAACUUGCUUCGGUUGAACUCCGAUAACUUCGUGGUAAAGCAAAAUAAAUAAAGCUGCCAUGCAUGAACAAUAUUGAUUUUAGCAAUUGAAAGACAAUUAACACAUUCAUGGAUUAUGCUGUAAAAUCAGUCAUUGUAUUAACCAUGUAAUAUUCCAAGUACUAGCUUUUUUGUUUACUUUAAAGAUUUAAUUUGAAAUCGAAAUUUAUAACACAUACACUGUUAAAUAUGAGAGGUCUAAUACUAGCACAUGUAACCUUAAUUACUAAAUCUGUAAUGUAAAUUAACUUGAAAGUAGGAGCAUUGUGUUUUAUCAUCAAUGAUCUUGGUGUAUUAGUUAUCA